UCGGCUUAGCUAUUUCUUCGUGACUUACCCUGACGUUGACUGUGGUAAGCUAACUGACCUGUCUGCUGCCGAUGUGAGUACGGAAAAACUUGUUAGAGUUGCUGUCCGGCAUGGACUCUACAAGUGCCUUAGCCGUGAUUCAGCAAUCCUCGAUGAAAAGUGUGUAAUUGCGCAUUUCAUUGGCACUAGAUUGUCAAACUGAUUACAAUAGUUCCUAUGUGGAAUUGUAAUAGAGGAGACUUUGAAUUUGAUGUAAGUGAAGGAGCUCGUGAUAACAGUGCAACAGGAGGAGGAGAUGGAGUUCUACGGAGGAACGAUAAAAGCACCAAAGCUCCUUGCAGACAUUGUGGAGUCCAUAAUGGGGGCUGUAUAUUUGGAUUGUGGCUUUGAUGUGAAUGAUGUCUGGUGCUUUUAAAGGUGCAGUGUGACGCAUUGGUAAUGAGUUAUUACUGAAGAAA